AGAGUUUGAUCCUGGCUCAGGAUGAACGCUAGCGACAGGCUUAACACAUGCAAGUCGAGGGGCAGCACAGGUAGCAAUACCGGGUGGCGACCGGCGCACGGGUGAGUAACGCGUAUGCAACUUGCCUAUCAGAGGGGGAUAACCCGGCGAAAGUCGGACUAAUACCGCAUGAAGCAGGGGCCCCGCAUGGGGAUAUUUGCUAAAGAUUCAUCGCUGAUAGAUAGGCAUGCGUUCCAUUAGGCAGUUGGCGGGGUAACGGCCCACAAACCGACGAUGGAUAGGGGUUCCAGAGGAAGGUCCCCCACAUUGGUACUGAGACACGGACCAAACUCCUACGGGAGCA
rnacentral:rRNA from 1 species